rnacentral:rRNA from 1 species
ACUCCUACGGGAGGCAGCAGUGGGGAAUAUUGCACAAUGGGGGAAACCCUGAUGCAGCCAUGCCGCGUGUGUGAAGAAGGCCUUCGGGUUGUAAAGCACUUUCAGUAGGGAGGAAGGUAGUGUAGUUAACACCUGCACUUAUUUGACGUUACCUACAGAAGAAGCACCGGCUAACUCCGUGCCAGCAGCCGCGGUAAUACGGAGGGUGCGAGCGUUAAUCGGAAUUACUGGGCGUAAAGCGCAUGCAGGCGGCCUGUUAAGUCAGAUGUGAAAGCCCGGGGCUUAACCUCGGAAUUGCAUUUGAAACUGGCAGGCUAGAGUCUUGUAGAGGGGUUAGAAUUUCAGGUGUAGCGGUGAAAUGCGUAGAGAUCUGAAGGAAUACCAGUGGCGAA